GGAUUGAACGCUGGCGGCAUGCUUUACACAUGCAAGUCGAGCGGCAGCGCGGGGCAACCUGGCGGCGAGCGGCGAACGGGUGAGUAAAAGAUAGGAACGUAUCCGGGAGUGGGGGAUAACUAGCCGAAAGGUUAGCUAAUACCGCAUAUUCUCCGAGGAGGAAAGCGGGGGACUCGAAAGGGCCUCGCGCUCGCGGAGUGGCCUAUCUCCGAUUAGCUAGUUGGUGAGGUAAAGGCUCACCAAGGCGACGAUCGGUAGCUGGUCUGAGAGGAUGAUCAGCCACACU
rnacentral:rRNA from 1 species